rnacentral:rRNA from 1 species
UACGGAGGAUGCGAGCGUUAUCCGGAUUUAUUGGGUUUAAAGGGUGCGUAGGCGGACUGUCAAGUCAGCGGCAAAAUUGAGAGGCUCAACCUCUUCCCGCCGUUGAAACUGGUGGUCUUGAGUGGAUGAGAAGUACGCGGAAUGCGUGGUGUAGCGGUGAAAUGCAUAGAUAUCACGCAGAACUCCAAUUGCGAAGGCAGCGUACCGGCAUCCAACUGACGCUGAGGCACGAAAGCGUGGGGAUCAAACAGG